rnacentral:rRNA from 1 species
UACGAAGGGGGCUAGCGUUGUUCGGAAUCACUGGGCGUAAAGGGCGCGUAGGCGGCUUUUCAAGUCGGGGGUGAAAGCCUGUGGCUCAACCACAGAAUUGCCUUCGAUACUGUUAGGCUUGAGACCGGAAGAGGUGAGUGGAACUGCGAGUGUAGAGGUGAAAUUCGUAGAUAUUCGGAAGAACACCAGUGGCGAAGGCGACUUACUGGACGACUGUUGACGCUGAGGUGCGAAAGCGUGGGGAGCAAACAGG